rnacentral:rRNA from 1 species
UACUUUGGUGGCGACCGGCGCACGGGUGCGUAACGCGUAUGCAACCUACCUUUAACAGGGGCAUAACACUGAGAAAUUGGUACUAAUUCCCCAUAACAUUCGAGAAGGCAUCUUCUUGGGUUAAAAACUCCGGUGGUUAAAGAUGGGCAUGCGUUGUAUUAGCUAGUUGGUGAGGUAACGGCCCACCAAGGCGACGAUGGAUAGGGGUUCUGAGAGGAAGGUCCCCCACAUUGGAACUGAGACACGGUCCAA